UACAGAGGUCUCAAGCGUUGUUCGGAUUCAUUGGGCGUAAAGGGCGCGUAGGCGGCGGGGUAAGUCGGGUGUGAAAUCUCAGGGCUCAACCCUGAAACUGCACUCGAUACUGCUCUGCUUGAGGACUGGAGAGGAGACUGGAAUUCACGGUGUAGCAGUGAAAUGCGUAGAGAUCGUGAGGAAGACCAGUGGCGAAGGCGGGUCUCUGGACAGUUCCUGACACUGAGA
rnacentral:rRNA from 1 species